GCCCUGUUCCCUGUCCCCAGAUCACACCGAGUCAGCAGCCUUCCCUAGACCCGCCGCUUCCUCGCUCCGCGCUGGCCGCCCCCUCCCACCCUUGCAGCCCCUCUCUGUCUCCGCCUGCCCUGACUGCGCCCUCCCACGCAGACACGGGACUCAAUCCGCGCCUCGGCCGUCGGGCUCCUUGGGACUCUGGUGCGCCGGGGCCGGGGCGGGCUCCGGCUGGGGCUCCGCGGCCCCCUGCGGAAGCUGGUGCUGCAGAGUCUCGUGCCGCUGCUGCUGCGCCUGCAUGACCCCAGCAGGGACGCUGCUGAGGUUCAGCGAUACCCAGGCCACGUGCCCAACUUCCUGAGCCAGACCCAGGGCUACCUGCGGAGUCCACAGGACCCCCUGCGCCGGGCAGCCGCCGUGCUUAUAGGCUUCCUUGUCCACCACGCCAGCCCCGGCUGUGUCAACCAGGACCUGCUGGACUCCCUGUUCCAGGACCUAGGGCGACUGCAGAGCGACCCCAAGCCGGCUGUGGCCGCGGCAGCGCACGUGUCCGCUCAGCAGGUGGCGAUGCUGGCCCGUGCCCGGGG
rnacentral:lncRNA from 10 species